rnacentral:rRNA from 1 species
UGGGGAAUAUUGCGCAAUGGGGGGAACCCUGACGCAGCCAUGCCGCGUGAAUGAAGAAGGCCUUCGGGUUGUAAAGUUCUUUCGGUAUUGAGGAAGGUUGAUGUGUUAAUAGCACAUCAAAUUGACGUUAAGUACAGAAGAAGCACCGGCUAACUCCGUGCCAGCAGCCGCGGUAAUACGGAGGGUGCGAGCGUUAAUCGGAAUAACUGGGCGUAAAGGGCACGCAGGCGGUUAUUUAAGUGAGGUGUGAAAGCCCCGGGCUUAACCUGGGAAUUGCAUUUCAGACUGGGUAACUAGAGUACUUUAGGGAGGGGUAGAAUUCCACGUGUAGCGGUGAAAUGCGUAGAGAUGUGGAGGAAUACCGAAGGCGAAGGCAGCCCCUUGGGAAUGUACUGACGCUCAUGUGCGAAAGCGUGGGGAGCAAACAGGAUUAGAUACCCUGGUAGUCCACGCUGUAAACGCUGUCGAUUUGGGGGUUGGGGUUUAACUCUGGCGCCCGUAGCUAACGUGAUAAAUCGACCGCCUGGGGAGUACGGCCGCAAGGUUA